UCUAAAUCCAACUGACACUUCAUAAGCUCAAUUACUAAUUUCAGACCUAAUCUCUUUGUUGUGUGACCCCAUAGAUUCAAUUCUAUCUGGUAGUGAGAUAUACAAUGAUCUCUAUCAAAAUAUUAUUAAAACUCUUUUUAAUAGAUCGAAAUAAUUUCACUCUAACUCAUUAAAGAUUGUCGAUCCAGAACAAUCCUAAUGAGCUCUCACAAUCUACCAGUGAC
rnacentral:lncRNA from 1 species